CAAUAGCGUAUAUUAAAGUUGUUGCAGUUAAAAAGCUCGUAGUUGGAUUUCUGAUAGGAGCGACCGUGCCGAACUUGAUUGUUCGUGUAUUGUGUUGUCUUCAGCCAUCCUCGUGGAGAACUUUUCGGGCAUUAAUUUGUCGGGAUUGGGACCCGCGUCGUUUACUGUGAAAAAAUUAGAGUGUUUAAAGCAGGCAAUCGCUUGAAUACAUUAGCAUGGAAUAAUAAGAUAGGACUUUGGUACUAUUUUGUUGGUUUGCAUACCAAAUUAAUGAUCAACAGGAACAGUUUGAGGAUAUUCGUAUGAACAUGUCAGAGGUGAAAUUCUUGGAUUUUGAUCAGACGAACUACUGCGAAAGCAUUUAUCAAGGAUGUUUUCAUUAA
rnacentral:rRNA from 1 species